rnacentral:rRNA from 1 species
GAUGAACGCUGGCGGCGUGCCUAACACAUGCAAGUCGAACGGAAGGACAGUAAGAUUGUGCUCUUACGGGUGGCGGAUGGCGGGUGGGUAACGCGUGUAUCGGCUUCUUAUUUUUCGGGGAGGAUCACGUAAGUAAGGUUACGAUAAUAUAGCAUAUGAUGUACCGGUGAGGGCAGGGGAUAUUCGCGGCUUGCGUGUUUGAAUUAGCUGCUGCCGGACUAGCUAGUUGGGGGGGUAAGGGCCUAGCAUGGCGACGAUACGUAGCCGGACUGAGAGGAUGAUCGGCCACACUGGAACUGAGACACGGUCAAGACUCCUACGGGAGGCAGCAGUGGGGAAUGUUGGGCAAUGGGCGCAAGCCUGACCCAGCCAGACCGCGUGGGUGAAGAAGGCCUUCGGUUCGUAAAGCCCUUUUGUUGGGAAAGAACAGCUGUAGAAUGAAACGACGCGGUUUUGACGGUACCUAAUAAAGAAGCACCGGCUAACUACGUG